AGUCAGCAAGAAGAUGGAAGAUGUAUCACCCAAGCACAUGGGAAGUGAAGAAGAUCUCCUUCCACACUGCCUGUCUUCUGCACUGGAACUCCCUGAAGGUUUGAAUCCAACCAACUACUCAACAACAACAACAAAAUGUAUUCCUUGUCUGCACCUGAUAUCCUAUGGUUGGCAGACUCAAAGGCAACCCCCACGAUCCCUGCAACAUAGUGUCCACACCCUUGAGAAAUGCCCUCUUGUGAACAUGUGUGGAGCCAGUGACUUGCUUCUAAUGAACAGAAUAUGGUGAAGGUGGCAAGAUGUCACCUCUGUGAUGACAUUAUGUAGACUGUAGUGUCUGUCUUGACAAAAGACUCUCUCUCUUGCUCAUUUGGUAAAGUAGCCAUGCUGCCAAGAUCCCAAGACCAGGAACUGGAGGAAGCAGCCAGCCAACAGCCAAUUAAAAAACAAAACAAAACAAAAAGCAAAAAACCUGAGGUUCUCAGUCCAACAGGCUAUUCCACCAACAAUAUAAAUAUGGAAGUGAAUCUUUCCCCACUCAAGCCUUGAAGUGAGACUGCAAGCCCAAUAGACACUCUGUUUGCAGCCUUCAAAGAAAACUAUGCAGCAGAGAACCCAGAGAAGCUGUGCCCAGAAUCUUGACUCCUAAAAAUCCUGAAAUAAUCAGUGGAUGCUGUUUUAAACUACUAAGUUUGCGGUAAUAUUGUUACACAAUAGAAAAGUAACACAACAUGCACGUGUGCAUACAGUGCAGACCCAACCUGUCACUGAUACAAUUGGCUCCAAACUUUAUCGCAAAUCCAUUCACAUUUCUUUAUCUCCAUGGUCACCAGCCACCAAAGGAAGUAGCUCUUGGCUCCCUACACUUUCUGCUUCAACCUUGAGGUGAAUUUCUCAUCUGCACACUGCCAGGCACAAGAAAGAAGGAGCACAAGCCAGCUCACCCAGCCCCUCCUGAGGAGCUGUCCUCACCACUGCACCAGGCUAUCAAAGUCUCCCGCACCUGCCCCAGCAGAUCUGCGCAUGCCCAAUCCUGUGUGCUUUCUGUCCUUACGGAAUUUCAUAUUUCUGCUGCCUUCUGACGGCAAUCUUUUGUUCCAGGAUUGUUACAAUUUAUUCCUUUUAAAGAAAUUAUCUUUUCUAUCAUUUCUAGGUCUGUGGCGAGAGAGUAGAAGGCAGACUCCUGUGUUCGGUCUGUCAUUUUGAUACAAUAGUCUUUCCAGGGUAAUUGUCAUGAUGUCAUGCUGUCUCAAAAAAAAAUCCAUUUACAGACAUUUUUUACUGUAACUAAAGUCUAACAGGGAUUUUUUACAAUGGUUCUUGUAAGUACUAUGCAGCCACUACAAAUUAUAUGUAUAAGGAAUGUUUAAUGGUGUUGCCAAAUGCUCAUACUGUAAUGACGUUAUAAGACAGUAUAGAAAGUAUAUUGAAGUUUCAUCCUCCUUGAGGUGAAAUGUUAAGCCAUGUGAAUGAAUGAUGUACACAAGAAAACAGAAGAGGGCUGAGAACAGACCUCAGGAAAUCUCCAGGAGACUGAGACAGACAAAGAAUUAGAGAGAGAGAAAGCUGUAGACAGAGAGAGACAGGCACUAAACAAGACUGCGGAAGUCCUGGAAGGCUUCCUAGAGUCGGACCCAGGUGAGCUGAUUCUGAAAGGUAAGUAGGAAGGAUCCAAUAGAAGUGAUCAGAGAAAUAAUGGACCAAGGAAUGAAGGGAGUAAAAGGAAGAAAAUGAGAAAAGCAUUUAGACUUGGAGACACUGAUGUCACAGAGCCCGGCACACAGCAGAACUCAAUAAGCAUUUUUAAUACAUUAAUAAACUGGUGCUAAUUGACUAAUUAACAAAAUCAAAAAAGUGGCUCAAAUAAAAUCAACAUUGUAGCAUUUUUAUAGCAGCCAAACCUGCAAUGCGAACCCUGAACUCUUUGAGGAGGCUGGUCCUGCAGCCUAAGCUGGACUCUCUGCUGCCCUCUUGUAGACAGACACCAUCACCGCAGCGCUCGCAGCAGUCAAUGAGUCACUUGUAUGAGUCUUCUAACUUUGAAGCUACCCGUGCUCUCCAUCUCAAUAUCUUCACAGGGUGAAUACAGACUGAGGCCAACAGAAAGAUACCAGGAAAUGGUAGCUCUCAAAAAGCAUUAUUAAAUACAUUUAACUCAGCUAUGUUUCUGAGGCCCUAUCCACCUGUCAGAGUAAAGGUUGUCCAGAAUAAUUAUCCUGAUGAUGCUUUUUGCUACACCUUCUCUCUAAAUUGCUCCAUUCCUUGGUUUUAUCACUGAGAAACAUGGCAUGAGCUUUAGGCAGGAACUGAGAGAUGUCUCUUGGUUCAGUCUAGUCCAAGAAUAUGUUUUCCCAAUUUUCCAAAAAUUGGGGGAAAAAACUGAUUUUUUUUAAUUCUUAAAAAAAAACAAAGAACAUCUUUAUUUCUGCCUUCAUUUCGUUAUGUACCCAGUAGUCAUUCAGGAGCAGGUUGUUCAGUUUCCAGGUAGUUGAGCGGCUUUGAGUGAGAUUCUUAAUCCUGAG
rnacentral:lncRNA from 1 species